AAUGGGCGCAAGCCUGAUCCAGCAAUGCCGCGUGUGUGAAGAAGGCCUGCGGGUUGUAAAGCACUUUCAGUGGGGAAGAACGGGCCAAGGUUAAUACCCCUGGCUUCUGACGUUACCCACAGAAGAAGCACCGGCUAACUCCGUGCCAGCAGCCGCGGUGAUACGGAGGGUGCAAGCGUUAAUCGGAAUCACUGGGCGUAAAGCGCACGUAGGCGGCCCGUUAAGUCAGAUGUGAAACCCCUGGGCUCAACCUGGGAAUGGCAUUUGAUACUAGCGGGCUCGAGUCUGAUAGAGGGGGGUGGAAUUCAGGUGUAGCGGUGAAAUGCGUAGAUAUCUGGAGGAACACCGGUGGCGAAGGCGGCCCCCUGGAUCAUGACUGACGCUGAGGUGCGAAAGCGUGGGGAGCAAA
rnacentral:rRNA from 1 species